CUGAUAUUCUCCUUCUGCUGAUUAUGUGAUAAUCAGUACAGGGUAAACAAAGUCUAUAGUAAGAUCACAUGCAUGGCCCCAGACUUGUUCUAUCCCUAGGCCUGAUUUUUAAAUGGUGGUGACAAAC
ensembl:snoRNA SNORA72 Small nucleolar RNA SNORA72